UCGUAACAAGGUUUCCGUAGGUGAACCUGCGGAAGGAUCAUUGUCGAUGCCUUACAUGCAGACCAACUUGUGAAUCUGUUUGAAUACGUGAGGAUGGCUCGGGGUGUCCAACACCUCGACCUUCCUCGAGUUGGGAGGGGGGCCACGUUUUGUGCGCCCGCUUCCUGGCGUAACCCAAACCCCGGCGCUUAAUGCGCCAAGGAACUAAAAUUGGUUCAGUUCGCCCCCGUAGGCCCGGAGACGGUGCUCCCGCGGGAGGUGUUUUGACGCAUGAUAUAAUUAUAAAAUGACUCUCGGCAACGGAUAUCUAGGCUCUUGCAUCGAUGAAGAACGUAGCGAAAUGCGAUACUUGGUGUGAAUUGCAGAAUCCCGUGAACCAUCGAGUCUUUGAACGCAAGUUGCGCCCGAAGCCAUUAGGUUGAGGGCACGUCUGCCUGGGCGUCACAUAUCGUUGCCCCAUGCCCAAUGCCUAUUCAUAGGCACUGUGCGGGGCGAAUGUUGGCUUCCCGUGAGCAAAUGUUGUCUCGUGGUUGGCUGAAAACUGAGUCCUUGGUAGGGUGUGUGCCAUGAUUUAUGGUGGUUGUGUGACCCACGAGACCGAUCAUGUGCAGCUCCACCAGAUUUGGCCUCUUUGACCCACGUGCGUUCUUGAACGCUCAUGACGAGACCUCAGGUCAGGCGGGGCUACCCGCUGAAUU
rnacentral:rRNA from 1 species